CUGGCGGCGAUGCCUUAAUCAUGCAUCCCGAGCGGACAGGAUGGGUAGCUUGCUCCCUGCAUGUUAGCGGCGGACGGGUGAGUAACACGUGGGUAACCUGCCUGUAAGACUGGGAUAACUCCGGGAAACCGGGGCUAAUACCGGAUGGUUGUUGAACCGCAUGGUUCAGACAUAAAAGGUGGCUUCGGCUACCACUUACAGAUGGACCCGCGGCGCAUUAGCUAGUUGGUGAGGUAACGGCUCACCAAGGCGACGAUGCGUAGCCGACCUGAGAGGGUGAUCGGCCACACUGGGACUGAGACACGGCCCAGACUCCUACGGGAGGCAGCAGUAGGGAAUCUUCCGCAAUGGACGAAAGUCUGACGGAGCAACGCCGCGUGAGUGAUGAAGGUUUUCGGAUCGUAAAGCUCUGUUGUUAGGGAAGAACAAGUGCCGUUCAAAUAGGGCGGCACCUUGACGGUACCUAACCAGAAAGCCACGGCUAACUACGUGCCAGCAGCCGCGGUAAUACGUAGGUGGCAAGCGUUGUCCGGAAUUAUUGGGCGUAAAGGGCUCGCAGGCGGUUUCUUAAUCUGAUGUGAAAGCCCCCGGCUCAACCGGGGAGGGUCAUUGGAAACUGGGGGAACUUGAGUGCA
rnacentral:rRNA from 1 species